GGAAUGAUUGGCCAUAAAGCGUCUGUAGGUGGCUUUUUAAGUCUGCCGUCAAAUCCCAGGGCUCAACCAUGGACAGGCGACGGAAACUACCAAGAUGGAGUACAGUAGGGGCAGAGGGAAUUUCUGGUGGAGCAGUGAAAUGCGUAGAGAUCGGAAAGAACACCAACGGUGAAAGCACUCUGCUGGGCCGAUACUGACACUAAGAGAUGAAAGCUACGGGAGCGAAUGGGAUUAGAUACCCCAAUAGUCCUAGCUGUAAACGAUAGAUACUAGGCGCUGUGCGUAUCGACCCGUGCAGUAAAAAAUGAUCAUAAGGAUCUGUC
rnacentral:ncRNA from 1 species